rnacentral:rRNA from 1 species
AUUGAACGCUGGCGGCAGGCCUAACACAUGCAAGUCGAGCGGUAGAGAGGUGCUUGCAUCUCUUGAGAGCGGCGGACGGGUGAGUAAUGCCUAGGAAUCUGCCUGGUGGUGGGGGAUAACGUUCGGAAACGGACGCUAAUACCGCAUACGUCCUACGGGAGAAAGCGGGGGAUCUUCGGACCUCGCGCCAUUAGAUGAGCCUAGGUCGGAUUAGCUAGUUGGUGAGGUAAUGGCUCACCAAGGCGACGAUCCGUAACUGGUCUGAGAGGAUGAUCAGUCACACUGGAACUGAGACACGGUCCGGACUCCUACGGGAGGCAGCAGUGGGGAAUAUUGGACAAUGGGCGAAAGCCUGAUCCAGCCAUGCCGCGUGUGUGAAGAAGGUCUUCGGAUUGUAAAGCACUUUAAGUUGGGAGGAAGGGUCGUAACCUAAUACGUUGCGGCUUUGACGUUACCGACAGAAUAAGCACCGGCUAACUUCGUGCCAGCCGCCGCAGUAAUAC